GCAGUCACCAAUCACCAUCAGAAACACCUUUCAUUUUCUCUUUCUUCCCUUUUUCAAAUCAUAUACACAAAAUUCACAAAGUUCAUCAUGAACAUCGUAUGAACAUGAUGAACACAGAUUUUUCCAGUAACUAAUUCCAGACUCAAAAUCAUCAAACAACAACAUUAUUUUCGUGAAUCCUACACCACCAAUUCAUUUUCUUUCGAAAUCCAUCAAACACAAAUUUGGUUCACCACAGAUCCAAAAUCGGUUCAUCUCAACACAUGUCUGAACUUCAAUAUAUCACCACAGUUAUGAAACCAAGCUUAAACAUGUACUGAAGCUGUUUCGUUCUCAACAAACUGGCAUACAACUGAAAGCAAGAUCGAAAUCCAGAGAAAGAAGGAAGAAUGUCCAUAUCGGAGCUUAUCCGAACCAGAUCGAGCUCUCUUUGUUUUGAAGUUUUCCGUUUGUGCUAGCUUUCUCCGAAUAUAAGCAAAGGUAACGGCCAUUUCCUUUCAGUUUCGUUCUUUGUGUUUCAAAAAUUUUCGAAUCUCAAAUGUUAGAUCUAGGACGAAUCGUUGUUUAUUUUUGAAAACUAAGUGCGGAAUAAGGAUGAAAAUGGAUGUCUGAAGAAGUAGAAAAUUUUUGAAACGGAGAGGUUUGGGUGGUUGCGGCGGCAGCGCCGCCACCUUGUGGUGGUCGGCCACUGCGCCAGCGUGUUAGUGGUUCGUCGAAGAAGAGAGAGUUACUUGCGGACUCUCUCUCUCUCUAAGUGAGGAUGUAGAGAGAAGGAGAAUAUUAUAUUGUGUUGUUUUUUGAGUGAAUCAUCAACUUCGUCCCUGAAUUUUCACGGGUCGGCCAACUUCGUCCCUUAAUUAUGCGAAAUAUCAAUUUAAUCCCUGAAUUUGUUAAAUGUCAAUCAAGUUAGUCCUUCAGUUCAAAUGGAGCGUUGAUGGGGCUGACGUGGCCGUUAACCUCUCAGUUCAAACGGAGCGUUGACGGGACUGACGUGGCCGUUAACCUCUCACAUAUCAGACGCCACGUAGGCAGGGACUAAUUUGGCCGAUAAUGACCUAAUUUUCAAGGACUAAGUUGAUUGAAUUUCAGGAAAUUGCUCUUCUUCCCCAAUGGCUCUCUUCCUUCUCCAAAGGCUAUUUCAUCCCCAAAUAUAUAAAAUUGGAACCCUAAUUUUACAAUGUGUAAUCUACACUCCAAAAUCUCAAAAUUUUCUUCCAAUAAUUAAGGGUCACGUUCUUCCCCAAAUCAAAAAAUUGCAAACCCUAAUUUUUUUAAUUGAAUCUGAAAACCAAAAUCUGCAAAAUUCAUUCAAGCAAAACUAUUGAAAUUGAAUCUAAAAUGAUGGGGGUGGUCAUAUGGGCAAAAAGAGCUAUCAAAGUCAAGCUUCAUCUUCAUCCUCCAUGUUUAAUGUUGAUGUGAGAGUGCUUGAAUGUUGUGUGGGUUGAUGAAGCCGAAGAACUAGGUUACUAAAAACAAUGGAAUUUGUGCUGCUCAUGGAAGAAAGACAAGAAUGAUGGAGAAGGUUUAGUCCAUGCUCAAGGCUAAGGAAAGUGGCAAUGACGAGGUUUGGAGGGCAAGGUUGAUGGACAAAGUUGAUUGUAUAGGAAGUAAGCUUAGGGUGAUUAAGUUUAUGAUAGUUAUAAUCUGCUUUUUUGAGUUUUGCGACAUGCUAAUGUAUAUUUCUAAUGUUGUGUAGAGUUGUAAUGAUUUUACCAUGAAAAGAGGUUGAAGAUGAAUGAAAUGUUGUGUAUCUGUUAUAAUUUUACCAUCAGAUUAGUCCCUGAAUUAUUUGUGUUACUAUCAAAUCGAUCCCUGAAUUAUUUUAAAAACCAUAAAAAAAAGUCACUAAAUUAUAUUAACAGAAAUCAAGUUGAUCCUUGAGGCAUAAAUUUGCAGAACAACAUAAAAAAGGCAGUAGAUACCAAUCAAAAUAGUAAUAAGUCAUAACUAAAUGAUAAAAACAUGAAAACGAAAAUCAUAAAAACGGAAAAAAUAUGGGCGAAAACGAACAGAGAAAAAGGAGAAGAUGAACGAAGUUACCUUCAAAACAGACGAAAUCUUCCUUCAAAAAUGCAAUCUUGAUUGCCGGAGAGGAUGAUGAUCUUGGAGAAGUGAAAAUGGAGGGAAGAACAGACAGGGACUUAGUUGAUGUGUUCUGUAUGAAAGGUGAGCAUGUAUGGUAAUGGCAAACAUAGGGGUAAAAAAGGAAUUGCAGAAAAAUGAAGUUAAAAAAGUAAAAAUUGAAAUUUUCGUAUUUUCCAUCAAUUUAGUCCCUGUACACGUGACUUUCUUUUUCCCACGUGUACAAGCCAACACAGCACACUAACGGACCUUUUGGACGGAGGGACGAAAUUGAUGGAUGUCAAACAAAUUCAGGGACUAUUUUGAUAUUUCGUUAAAUUGGGGGACGAGUUUGGCCGAUCCCUGAAUAUUCAGGGACGAAAUUGAUGGUUUACUCGUUGUUUUUUUUGCUGAAAUUCAAUUUAAAUGCUCUUUUUUCAUUUUAAUGCUAUGCGCGCGCCUCCCCUUGUCCUCACUAUACUCCAUCUGUUUUAAGCCAUCAGAUCUGGAUUGUUCCAAGAUCUGAUGGCUGCUGUGUGAUCCCCUGUUGAAUCCUAUACGCUUCUGUUACUGUGUUUACCGUGUUCCUUCCUUUCUAAACCUUUGGAUCUCCGAUCCAGUGGUUCAGUUUUGAUCUCGAUUUUGAGCCCAAACUAUUUUGACUAAGCCCACUGUUAUUUUAUUUCCUCUACAAUUUCACUAUUGAACCACACUGUUUCAUUACUGCACCCUCUGUUUCUUUUAAAAAAAAAAUUCUUGCAUAUCUUGUUUUUCCUUGCCUUUGUAAUUGAUUUUAAAACCUUUUUAUGUAGAGAUAUCAUCCUAUUAGUGUUCCAUCCAUUUUAUUUUUUAUAUAAGUGUGUCAAUUAUCAUGCUUGGUUUAUUAUUUAGUUUAGUCUAGUUUAUGGGUUUAAUCUCUAUCUUAUGCAUUCCUCUUAAAAAAUCAUUUCAUGCAUUUUAUUGAUUUGCAUUUUUAUUGUGUCAUACCUUUGCGGUCUAAUUUGUUAUCUUUAUUUUUUGUCUUUUUUUUUAAGAUAUUAGUGUGUAUAUAGGAAUUGAUUUAAUUUGUUUUGUGCGUUUUAUUUCUUACCAUUAUAUUUCUCUUGAGACCAUAGAAUGUAUUUAGGAGGUUAUGUAAUAAUGUAGUAACACAUGCACCGACACUAUCCCACUUUAUUUACCUCUUUACGCUUAUUUUAUUUUACGUCGUUACGCUAGUUUAGAAAAAUCUUUUUUAUCUCAAAAAAAUCAAAUAUGUCAAACUCCAAAAAUAUUUUCUUAUUAAACCUUGGAUUUUAACCCAAGUGUUUUUUCCUUUUAUUUUCUUAAUCAAAUGUUUAAUCAAUUUAAUAUCCAUAUUAGGCUUGGAUUUCUUGCAAUUAAAAUUAACCAACUUCAUCUUAUUUUUCUCUCAUGCCUUGAGGCCUCUUAUCUCUUCUUAAAACCUUUUUUUCAAAAAUGUUAAAAUCAAUCUAACCCACCAAAUAAUUUUUGAGAGAGAACUACAAUGAUUUUGAUUCCAUUUGUGGAUAUGUAGGCAAAGGAUUUC
rnacentral:lncRNA from 1 species